UUCCGCCUUCAACGGCGCUAUGGUGGAGUCCAGCUAGCUAUCGGGUCUCAAGGAGGUUCCAACCCUUCCACCAUUAGCCCAGGAGGAUGAACCAAUAAAUAAGAAAAAUUGUAGGAAAUCUAAUAAACACAUAACAAAACAAAAAAAAACGCUAACACACCGUACACUGAUAACAAGGGAACUUGAUGUACCUGCUCCCACACAUUGCCCGCCCAACCUUGACCCUUUAGUCCAAAAGAAUAUAAUUUAAAAAGGGCCCCUGUUUCCACACACACUUACCUUAUGACAACAUACACCCUACUUCCCUCUCUAACGAAACAAAAUUAGCACAUCAUGAUUAGAUUUUCACAUAGACAUAAAAUUUUUACAUUUGGUUUUGUUUAUAAAAGUCCUUAAAUAGCCUAACAUUAACACAUUACAAUAAACCUUUUCUUUUUUUUUUUUUUUUCAAAAUAACACACACAAAAAAAAAAUAUAUACAACCUAGAAGCUUCUAACACCAGCAGAUCUUUACUCUAUCUUUUGUGAGCCAUUUGGCACGAAUUCACAUUAAAUAAAAAUCAUAUAGACACUUGGAGCCUUUUGAUUUUCACUCCAAAGCACACCAAAAAAAAAACUAACAAAUUCCUAAUUGAGAGAGCUCUCUAAAUCGGUAUCAUAAAAAUCAUAUCACAUCAAACUUUCAAUUUUGGCCUAUAUGGUUUCCUUGUAAACCCUGCGCUCACCAACAAUUUAACAUUUCUGGCAUUAAACACUUUUACACGCAUAAAUACUUAAAACUAGUAACUACAAACAUAAGACAUUAUAAAACACCACCAAACAUCACAAACAUACACUUAACCCAAGGUCUAAGGUUUUUUUUUUUUUUUCAAUUUAAGGCAAUUUUUUUCUUUUUAGUGGAUUUAAAGAAUAUACUUUUUUUUGUUUUUUUUUUUUUUUCUUUUGGUUUAUGACAAUUAUUCUUUUGCUGGCUUUAGUAAAUAUUUCAUUGGUAUUCUAUCUCAUUCCAGCGCUUUUCGCCCGGUGGGUUCUCUGCCUAGGCCGCUGGCGCAUGUGUGCAGCAAUUGCCCGAACACAAUUUUUCCGCCACGGAUCCGAACUUGGACGUUUUGGUCAUAUAUAGCCUGCCUUAAUGAUUGCCAGAUGAUGGACCGAACCCUGGAGCAGUCGCAACCACGACAGGGGACAGAUGAUUCCAAUUUUCCUCCCUAUCAAACUACGCUGGCCAUUUACUCCCGACAAGACUUUACGUUGAACCUCACAGAUGUGGUUUCUUCCUGAGGGCGCUUUAAUUGAUAACAAAGGGACAUAGAUAACAUUGCUGAGUUGUACCCAAUUAACCUCUUAAAUGUAUAAGAACACUCACUUUAUAAGUUUUCGCCCACAAUUUAAUAAAAAAAAACACACACACAGAGGCACAAAGUUCAGCUUCAAUAUAUGUCAUUCCAAACACCACAA